GGCCUGCAGGUACUGACCACAGCUGUAUUCUUACACUGACUGUGUAGAAAGAGGAGGCAAAGUGAAUCCAUCCCAUAUCCACCUCAGCUCAGACCCUAUGCCUCAUCUGCAGUAUGAAACGGGAGACAUGG